rnacentral:rRNA from 1 species
GUAGGGAAUAUUGGGCAAUGGUCGGAAGACUGACCCAGCCAUGCCGCGUGCAGGAAGACGGCCCUCUGGGUUGUAAACUGCUUUUAUCUGGGAAGAAAAAGGCCAUGCGUGGCAAAUUGCCGGUACCAGAUGAAUAAGCACCGGCUAACUCCGUGCCAGCAGCCGCGGUAAUACGGAGGGUGCGAGCGUUGUCCGGAUUGAUUGGGUUUAAAGGGUGCGUAGGCGGCUGGUUAAGUCAGCGGUGAAAGACUUCGGCUUAACCGGGGCAGUGCCGUUGAUGCUGGUUGGCUUGAGUGUCGGAGGGGUACAUGGAAUUGAUGGUGUAGCGGUGAAAUGCAUAGAUACCAUCAGGAACGCCGAUAGCGAAGGCAUUGUACUGGCCGACAACUGACGCUGAUGCACGAAAGUGUGGGGAUCGAACAGGAUUAGAUACCCGAGUAGUCC